GGGGGAAGCAGGGUGAUCCUAUGCUGCCAAGAAAAGCCUCGACGCGAGGGACUAGCCGCCCGUACCCGAAACCGACUCAGGUGGUCAGGUAGAGAAUACUAAGGCGAUCGAGAGAAUCGUGGUUAAGGAACUCGGCAAAAUGCCCCCGUAACUUCGGGAGAAGGGGGGCCUGAGAGGUGAAGCCACGUGCUGGCUAGCCUUUUCGGGCCGCAGAGACCAGGGAGAAGCGACUGUUUACUAAAAACACAGGUCCGUGCGAAGUCGCAAGACGAUGUAUACGGACUGACGCCUGCCCGGUGCUGGAAGGUUAAGAGGACGGGUCAACCACGCAAGUGGUGAAGCUCAGAAUUUAAGCCCCAGUAAACGGCGGUGGUAACUAUAACCAUCCUAAGGUAGCGAAAUUCCUUGUCGGGUAAGUUCCGACCUGCACGAAUGGCGUAACGACUUCUCCGCUGUCUCAACCGCGAACUCGGCGAAAUUGCAUUACGAGUAAAGAUGCUCGUUACGCGCAGCAGGACGGAAAGACCCCGGGACCUUUACUAUAGCUUGGUAUUGGUGUUCGGUACGGCUUGUGUAGGAUAGGUGGGAGACCGUGAAGCAUUCACGCCAGUGAGUGUGGAGUCAACGUUGAAAUACCACUCUGGUCGUACUGCACAUCUAACCUCGGUCCGUGAUCCGGACCAGGGACAGUGCCUGGUGGGUAGUUUAACUGGGGCGGUUGCCUCCUAAAAUGUAACGGAGGCGCUCAAAGGUUCCCUCAGCCUGGUUGGCAAUCAGGUGUCGAGUGCAAGUGCACAAGGGAGCUUGACUGUGAGACUGACAGGUCGAGCAGGGACGAAAGUCGGAACUAGUGAUCCGGCGGUGGCUUGUGGAAGCGCCGUCGCUCAACGGAUAAAAGGUACCCCGGGGAUAACAGGCUGAUCUUGCCCAAGAGUCCAUAUCGACGGCAUGGUUUGGCACCUCGAUGUCGGCUCGUCGCAUCCUGGGGCUGGAGUAGGUCCCAAGGGUUGGGCUGUUCGCCCAUUAAAGCGGUACGCGAGCUGGGUUUAGAACGUCGUGAGACAGUUCGGUCCCUAUCCGCUGCGCGCGCAGGAAACUUGAGAAGGGCUGUCCCUAGUACGAGAGGACCGGGACGGACGAACCUCUGGUGUGCCAGUUGUUCCGCCAGGAGCAUGGCUGGUUGGCUACGUUCGGAAGGGAUAACCGCUGAAAGCAUCUAAGCGGGAAGCCUGCUUCAAGAUGAGGUUUCCACCACCCUCGAGGUGGGAAGGCCCCCAGCAGACCACUGGGUUGAUAGGCCGGACGUGGAAGCGCGGUAACGCGUGGAGCUGACCGGUACUAAUUGGCCAACAACUUGCCACACACAA
rnacentral:rRNA from 1 species